ACGCUCGACACCUACGGGAGGUAGCAGUGGGGAAUAUUGCACAAUGGGGGAAACCCGUGAUGCAGCGACGCCGCGUGAGUGAAGAAGUAUUUCGGUAUGUAAAGCUCUAUCAGCAGGGAAGAAAAUGACGGUACCUGACUAAGAAGCCCCGGCUAACUACGUGCCAGCAGCCACGGUAAUCUGAGCGGGCUGGCAAGGC
rnacentral:rRNA from 1 species